UUAUAUAUAUAUAUAUAUAGUUUAAUUGGGGUAACCCCCAAAAUAUUGGGACGUAUAAAAAAAACACAACUCUGUUCCGCAGAGUAGCUGUUGACAUUAUAGUUGCACAGGAACUUUGUUGACUUUAGAGAACCUCGGGCAAAUCGCACAUCCCUGUGGCGGCAACUUUGCAUGCGGAUGUCAUCCAUAUCAACUUUCAAUGUCAGUUUCUGCGCCUACCAUGGUGACCAUGGGUAACGGAGAAUCAGGGUUCCAUUCCGUACAGGGACCCUAAGAAACGGCUACCCCAUGCAAGGAAGGCAGCAGAUGUGCAAAUGACCCACUCCCGACACGGGAAGGUAGUGACGA